GACGAACGCUGGCGGCGUGCUUAACACAUGCAAGUCGAACGGAAAGGCCUUUUCGGAGGUACUCGAGUGGCGAACGGGUGAGUAACACGUGGGUGAUCUGCCCUGCACUCUGGGAUAAGCCUGGGAAACUGGGUCUAAUACCGGAUAGGACCGCACUUUAGUGUGUGUGGUGGAAAGUUUUUUCGGUGUAGGAUGAGCCCGCGGCCUAUCAGCUUGUUGGUGGGGUAAUGGCCUACCAAGGCGGCGACGGGUAGCCGGACUGAGAGGUUGGUCGGCCACAUUGGGACUGGGACAGGGCCCGGACUCCUACGGGAGGAAGAAGGGGGGAAUAUUGCAAAAUGGGCGGAAGCCUGAUGCAGCGACGCCGGGGGGGGGAUGACGGCCUUCGGGUUUGAAACUCCUUUCGCCGGGGACGAAGGGUUUUGUGCAGGAACCUGGGAAAGAAGCACCGGCUAAUUACGG
rnacentral:rRNA from 1 species